rnacentral:rRNA from 1 species
AACGAACGCUGGCGGCAUGCCUAACACAUGCAAGUCGAACGAGACCUUCGGGUCUAGUGGCGCACGGGUGCGUAACGCGUGGGAACCUGCCCUUAGGUUCGGAAUAACUCCCCGAAAGGGGUGCUAAUACCGGAUAAUGUCUUCGGACCAAAGAUUUAUCGCCUUUGGAUGGGCCCGCGUUGGAUUAGCUAGUUGGUAGGGUAAAAGCCUACCAAGGCGACGAUCCAUAGCUGGUCUGAGAGGAUGAUCAGCCACACUGGGACUGAGACACGGCCCCGAAUACUACGGGAGGCAGCAGUGGGGAAUAUUGGACAAUGGGCGAAAGCCUGAUCCAGCAAUGACGCGUGAGUGAUGAAGGCCUUAGGGUUGUAAAGCUCUUUUACCCGGGAUGAUAAUGACAGUACCGGGAGAAUAAGCUCCGGCUAACUCCGUG